AAUCUUUGACAAUGAGAGCAUUACCCCAAAGCACUCAAUGGCUAGCCACAAAUUGGUUCUUCUCCUUCCAGUCAUUGUACUCUUUACCAUCACCACCGGAUAUGUCAUGGCUUCACCUCCGGCUGUCAAAGCUGCGUAUUGGCCUUCUUGGACUCAAACUUUCCCACCUUCAGCCAUAGACACCACUUUGUUCACACACGUCUUCUAUGCCUUUCUCUUGCCGAGUAAUGUCACUUUCAAGCUCGAAGUAUCCGAGUCAACUGCUUCCCUGCUCAAGAAUUUCACUGGCACCCUUCAUCAGAAAAACCCACCAGUGAAGACACUAGUCUCAAUUGGGGGAGGUAGUAGUGAUCCAAAACUCUUUGCUAGAAUGGCGUCAAAUAAAGGGUCACGUAGCAUUUUCAUAGAUUCAGCAAUGGAAGUGGCGAGAAGACAUGGAUUUGAUGGGCUGGAUCUUGACUGGGAAUUUCCUAAGGACCCAAAAGAGAUGGUUGACUUGGGCCAGCUGUUUAAAGAAUGGAGAGUUGCUAUCAGAAAGGAAGCCAAGUCCACCCACCGGUCUCCUCUGUUGCUCACGGCUGCCGUCUACUUCUCCGUCGACUUUCAAUGGGACGAGACCUACCGGAAGUAUCCAGUGGCAUCCAUCGCCAAAAGCUUGGAUUGGGUCAAUGCAAUGUGUUUUGAUUAUCGUGGUUCAUGGGACACUUCGGCUACAGGAGCUCACGCGGCAUUAUAUGAUCCUAAAAGCAACAUCAGCACGAGCUAUGGGCUUACGUCGUGGGUUCGUGCUGGUGUGCCUCGAAACAUGGUGGUCAUGGGCCUGCCCCUGUACGGGAGGACUUGGCAGCUUAAAGACCCGAAGGUAAAUGGAAUCGGAGCACCGGCCACGGCGGCCGGUCCUGGAGAUGAUGGCGUCCUGAUAUUUUCCCAGGUGGAGAAAUUCAAUAAAGAGAAUGGUGCCACCGUGGUGUAUGAUGCCAAAACUGUAUCCACGUAUUCUUAUGCCGGGACUUCUUGGAUUGGAUAUGAUGAUAGCCGAUCCACAACUGUGAAGCUAAAGUUUGCUCAGGCACUUGGUCUUCGUGGUUACUUCUUUUGGGCCCUCAGUUAUGAUAGCGAGUGGGAAAUCUCAAAACAAGCUUCAAGGGCAUGGGUCAUCGGAUAAAAAGGGUUGGAGCUUUCUAAUUUCCAGGAGGUUGUGGGAUCUCGACUUGAAGCCGCCACGGUCAUGGAGAAUGGAAGAUCUCAUUUUAUUUGUGUCCCAAAAUUAUUGAUUAGUCGAUUUAUUAAAAGUAAGAUUAAUCGUGUUUAAAAUGUUGAUUAAACGACUUUCAUGCGUGUAUUUGUGAAAAUAGAAAUAAUUAAGAAAACUACUCUUCUGAUUA